rnacentral:lncRNA from 1 species
CUUACACAAAUUUUGGUUACACAAAAAAUUCCUGUAAAUGACUAUUAUUUUCACAUUUUUAUAUGUAUGGAUAUCAUUUCCUGUGCUAUAUGAGAAAGACUAGAAUAGGAUAUUGUCUUACAAUAAUACUAUAGAAUGCAGGUAUAUCCAUUUUCACAUAAAAAUGAGAAUAUACUAUCCAUAAAAUUAGCAAGUAUGAUCAAUGCAGACAAACAGAGACUUACUCACGAGCAACAGCCACCACCUGCUUCCCCACAUUACGGCCGGAGAAUAGGCCAACGAGAGCGCUAGGCGCGCUUUCAAGGCCUUCGGCUAUGUCUUCGACGUAUGUGAUCUUCCCUUCUUUGAUUUGCGGCACAACCAUCUCAAGGAACUUCGGGUAGAGAUGGUAGUAGUCGCCAACGAUAAAUCCUUGCAUUCGGAUCCGUUUUGAUAUGAGGUUAAACAAGUUGUGCACGCCUUCGGGCUGCUCGAGGCCAUACUGAGAGAUCAUCCCACAAACAGCAACACGACCGUGUAGUCUCAUGUUGUGAAGCACUGCUUCGAGCAUCUUCCCUCCCACGUUCUCAAAGUAGAUGUCGAUGCCAUCGGGGAAGUACCUAUUCAAGAUAAGAUUUAGGGACAUUGAUUUAGUGAGAACUCUUGCACUGAACAUAUAAAGUAACUACGCUGAAGUCUAUACUCAGGCAAAUAUCGCGAAUUACUUGUACGUUCAGUGCAGAGUUCUCACAAUAACAAAAGUUUUUUAUUUGAAGCACACCCCACAUCAGAAGUAAAUAAUUUUAGCACAAAUUUUUGAGGAUACAAAAGGAGUCUUUUCUUAUAUCAAAAUCAAUAAAACCUAAAUAUAUAUGUAUGUUAAAUUACUAAAUUAUCUUGAAUGGUGUGUUUUCUACAAAAGAGAACUCUACUCGUUCUCAUUCCUUCUCUUCACUCCUCAAAAAGUAGUUAAAGGGAGAAAUUUUUGGUAUUCCUCAUUUUUCACGAUAAAUUUAUCAAACAAAGAAAAUGCAUCUGAAAGUUAAACAAGUAAACACACUUUAUAACAACAUAUUAUAGGGAGGCAAAAGCGCACCUCUUCAGAGCUGCAUUGUAGUCUUGCUCUUCUUUAUAGUUAAAUGCAUCGUCAAACCCGAAUUUGUUCUUCAAGAGAUCGACCUUCAUCAAAGUAAAAGCCGGCGUUUAAGCGCUAAUGGACUUAGUUAGUUCAUCAAAUGUCAAGAAAAUAGUUUUGAUGUAUCAUACAGAUGACACUCGACCUUUUCUUUGCUCCCGGCACUCCCAACAACGUAGCACCCUAUCGACUUUGCAAACUGACCAACGAGCUGACCAACAGCUCCGGAUGCAGCGGAAACAUAAACAGUUUCCCCCUUUUUGGGAGAGCAAAGCUCGAAGAAACCAACAUAAGCCGUCAUGCCAGGCAUACCUACAAAGCAAAAUAUGAAGCACAUUGAUUCAGCUAUGAAAUGAACACAAAAAAGCAACAUAGAAUCUAUUAUAAAGCAGGGGAAAAAUCAUCCAUGGCUAACAAAAAAUCAAGCAGUUUGAAGUUCAUCAACGCCUCAUUUUCUAUAACCGCAUACACAACUAGAUAAAUAAAUCCUGCAGAAUCAUAAACAACAUGUUCAACGAUUCUACCUCAGUCGAAUACAGCAUUAGGAUUCGAGCAACUCACCAAGAAUCCCUAUAUAGUAGGAGAGAGGCAAAUCUUUAUCUUGAAUUUCAAACAAUCUGCUUUGAUCUCGAAUGAUGCUGUACUCCUCCCAGCCAGUAGCCCCCCAAACGAGAUCACCCUUCUUGUAGUUUGGAUGAGACGAAUCCAUUACUUUCGACACUCCAUAUCCAGAAAUAGGCUGUCACCAAAACAGAGGCAAACUUCAGCUAGUCAUAGAAACAUCAAGAAGAUGUAGCUAACAUUAUAUCAAUGGAAUGAUGUAGUUUUUUCUCUUCCCAAAAUCAUGACCUCCCAUAAAUAUAAACAAUGCAUAUGUGAAAUUAUACCCAAACUGAUUUCAAUAAGCUCAGUCUUGAUCAUUCACACAAUAAUGAAGUAUCAAGGGCUAAUUGCACCUAAAUACACGAACUUUCACCCUUUUCACCCAAUUCUAAUUUUGCACGUGAACUAAAAAUUCUACCUUCAAAUACAAAAAUUUCCAACUAUUUCGAUUUUUCACACAAUUGUCAAUGACCCCAAAAUUACAUACCAAGGUGGGUGCUUGAAAUGCUCACGAUGACAUUAAUUUUCCACUUCAGCUUGACAUGAUGGCAUUAAUUCGUUGGAAAUUGACAACCAUGUGAAAAAUAAGAACAAUUGAAUCGGGUGAAAGUUCGUGUAUGUAGGCGCAAUCAUCUUUAUUAUCAAUCAAUCAAUUCUUUUAGGCCCCAAUUCAAAUCAUUACCUAUCCUCAUCCUUAAUUUCAACAAGAUUCCAACAAUUUUAUAAUCAAGAAUGAAAGAUAUUAUGGACUAGAUUAGGAUAUAUUUGAUAUAGUCUAAUACUAAGUAAGACAGUUCAAGUGUGAAUUACUUAGUCGUAAUUGUUGACUCAAGUGUGAAUUCCUUAGUCGUAAUUGUUGACUAAGGAAGACAAGACAAUUUAGAAUUGUCUUCUUCGCUUAUAAAUAAGGAAGCUUGGUCUUACGAAUUAGAUACGAAAACAUACGAAAACAUAAGCUUAGAGCUUUUGGCUUGCAAACACUAAAGAAAGCGCUAUAGUUUCAAUCGGAGAUUUCCUAGCUGUCGACGAUUGAAUCGUGCACUUGGAAUAGUUCCUGCAUCGAAUCGACAUACACGUGGAUACCUUAGUAGUGGAUUCACGGCACGAAUCGAGACGCACGUUUACCACAUAACAAGUAAGUUAUUCUUAUUGUUGUGUGUCUAUCUCUACACAUGAUGCAUUUGUAAAUCUAGAUCUAAUCCUUGAAUAUAUAUUCCGCUGCGUAUCAUUAGAUGAUGUCAAGGAUAACCAACAGUGGUAUCAGAGCCCGGGGCUCGAUUUACAAUUGCUAUUGUGUUCUAAUUGUUUAUGGGUUAAGAAUAUGUGAUUUUAGAAAUCUGAUUUCGAAAUUGAAAUUUAAUUUGGAAUUAGAAAUUUUCGAAAUUUGUUUUGAGAAUUGGUUUUCUGAAAUUGGAUGUUCAUUGGAUGAACAUAACAACCUUUCGCCUGCUGCUGCCCCUCUGUAAUGAUUCUGCCAUCUCGGGCUUGGAGUCCGGCGGUGGAAGGCGAAAGCGUGGUGGUGGUUUGGUGGCGAGACGACGCAAGAGGCGUCGAACCGGCGGUGUUCUCGCGCGGCGGACCUGCGCGCUCGCGGCAAGAGCGCCGCUGCUUCCUCCUCGACGCGACCUUGGACUCCAGCGGGCUUCGUCAGGCAAGGUCGCGCGACGUCGUCUGCAUCGAUGGCUUCGCUGCUUCGAGCGGCGGCGGCGUGGCUCCAAGGCUCCGAUCGCGGCGAUGGCUGACGGGAAUCGAAGGAGCAGCGGCUGCUGCUGCGGCUGCAGCCCUCCGACGCAGCUUCGAGCUGCGACCGGCGUGGAGACCUCCGGCGUGGACGCGCGACGUCUGAUGGCAUCGUCGAUUCGCGCGCGGCGCCGGCUGGCUGACGGGCGUUGUGGCGACGGGGAGGAGAAAGGAAGCGGCAGUUACUGCUGCAAAUUCAUUUCUCAAACCCUUGUGCUGAAAAUUGGGUUUUGGGCCAAGAGGAGUUGUUGGGCUGCAAUUUUCAAAGGUGUGGGCCUUGGUCUGGGCCUGGGGCUGCUGGGCUGCGGUCUUUAGGGUCUGGGCCUGCAGUUUUAAAAAUAAUGGCCAUUUGGGCUGAAAACUAGUUUUAAAAAAAAAAAAAACAAAAUUCUUUUAUUAAUUUUGAAUUAAUAAUUGAACCCCAAUUUCAGAAUUAAUUUAUUAAUUGGAUUAAUAAAUUUAAAUUAUUGUUAUUAAUUUUGAAUUAAUAAUAAUAUAAAUAAAUUUAUAUUAAUUUAGAAUUAAUAUAAAUUGAUUAACCCAUAUUUAAUUAGAGAAUAAAAUAUUAAUUUGAUUAAUGAUUUUAUUCGUAGUAGUUUUUAUGUCUUUAUGUGAUAAGCAUGCUAUUUGAUUUUUAUGCUUAUUAUUUAACUAUAGUAGUUAAAGACCGCUUUUAUCUUGGGUAGGCGGCGCCCAGUAUAUGUAGUCCGCUUUGCUAUGUAUGGGUAGGCGGCGCCCAAUAUGUGUGGUCCGCAUUUUAUAUGCCUGGGUAGGCGGCACCCAGAAAUUGUUUUGCUAUUUAAUAUUGGAUAUUAAAUAUAAGCAAUUGGUAUCACAUGCUAAAUCCCCAUUAAAUAUAAGUCGUUGUGUAAGCACAAAACGCGUCAUCCAUCAUAAUUGUUUGAGUACCUAACCUUUUUCGUCCAAGAGUAUUUACAUAAAAUUGUAUACUCUAAAUCGACAAGGCCAAGACUCAUUCAUAGGUUGGCACCGUGUGAUGGGGUUGACUUACUUAAAUUAUUUUGGAACGCAAAGCAACCAAGAAUGAUUUAAGGACGCAGAUUAAUUUGAUUAAUCAACCAAGAGUUGCAAAAUUGUUGUUGCAAUUGGCUUAGAGGCCUACUAAGUAAUAUUAUUGUAGUCAUCAGCAAAGCAGAGGCUGCAUAAUAUUGACUUGGAUCUUGGACCACUAAAAUUUAUAUGGAUUAUAAAUUCGUGUUUUACGUUUGGAGGCGUAAGAUAUGUUAAAAUUAGUGGGAGCUAAUCAAUACGUAUUAGCCCAUUGUUUAGAUUAGUGAUACAAUGUGAUCAUAGUUUAUUCUUUCUAAUUUGCUUUUCUUUAUUUAUUGAUCAGAUAAUAUGUCGAAUUUGUCACUGAAAUGUUUGAUAGAAACAAACAAGUUGACUGGGUCAAACUUCACGGAUUGGCUCUGUUGCUUGCGUCUGGUCUUAAGGCUAGAGAAGAUUGAGUAUGCCUUGGACAACCCAAUCACUGUCAUUCCUGACAAGCAGUUUGCUGAGUAUGCAUCAUUUGAUGAAGCUGCUCACAAGAAGCAUGUCGAGGAUGCAACAUCGGCACAAUGUGUGAUGUUGUCCUCUAUGACUACGGAGUUACGGAGGCAACACGAACACAUGUUCCCUUAUGAUAUGCUGAAACACUUGAAGAGUCUGUAUGCUUCAGAAGCUCAGACUAUGGAGUAUGAGAUACUCCGAGAUCUUUUCAAGUGUAAGCUUUAGGAAGGGAGUCCGGUUUCUGACCAUGUUUUGAAGAUGAUCGGGUUGAUUGAGAGGUUGGCUUCGAUUGGAACGAUGCUACACGCUACUGUCUCUGUCAUUCUGAUUCUGCAGUCUUUGUCUGCCUCAUUUGAAAACUUCAUUGUGAACUUCAAUAUGAACGGCACGAAGGCAAGCCUGCCUGAGCUUCAUAACAUGUUGAAGACCUAUGAGUCUUCCACCUCUAAAGGCAAAUCUGUGCNCGGGCAGCGGCGUUGUUCUCCGCCACGUCCCUGGCCAGGCGGAGGACGGAGGCGCCGCCGCAGCAGCCGUGCUGGGACAUCAUGGUGCGGGUGACGGAGGAGCAGAGGCCGAGGAGGUUGGCGAGGCGGUAGUCGGCGCCGGGCAUGUCGACGGAGAUAGUGCUGGUGCAGAAGAUGAGGUGGGUGAUGUUGGACUUGGGUUGCCCCCAUUCCUUGAUCGCCUUCUCCGCGCUUCCUGCCCCAGCUUCGGCACCUCCACCACCGCCAUCCCUGCCGCGCAUCCAGCGACGGCGCGGAGUAGGCGGCGAUGUUGGGGUUUUCCUUGAGGAGAUCCUCUGUCAGGUGCAUGUAGCGUUUCUUGAUCAUCGAAUUUUCGCCUAAAUAAAAUAUUAUGAGAACUCGGAAAUAAUAAAACUCAUGCACAACGAAGUGCAGUUCAAUUAAUAAGAAUUUGAAUACCAAACUUUAUGCAACAAAGAAAUGCAGUUCAAUCAAUAAGACGUUCUUUCUAAUUAUUGGAUUAAGAUUUGAGAGUUCAGAGUCAUAACCGAAGAAAAUGAGGAACUAUUAUCGAUCCUAUUUAAAUUAAAAUUACCAAACAUUUGCUCGGAAUACUCUAUUUCUUUUUUGGUUUUUUUUCAAUAUUAAAUUAUACUAUAUGCUUUAAUUUAAUUUAAUUUAUUAUACAUAAGGAUAUAUACACCCUAGCUACGAGACAUAGAAGGUGUUUGGCUGAGCUUAUAAACUCUUUAAAACAACUCAGUGUUUGCGCACCAAUGAGAGUAAAAUAAGAAACAAAUAUGAAAUUAUGAGAAAAUCAUGACUAUUAAUUAAAUCGGUGACUGAAACAACUUGUUUUAUCUAUUUUAUCAAACGACGCAUUUUCAAGCCACAUUAGUAUGCCACGUCACAUAGAAGGCAACAAAAGUAUGUCGGAAUACUUCACGCAUGGAAAAAAUUAGACUCAAUCAAAAGUUUAUGUAUUUCACACUAACAUUUAAAAAUCAUGAGAAAAAUGAGAAUUCGUCCAAAUUUGGUGGAUUUUGGCGCUAUUUGCUCUUUAAGAAAUUAUAACUUUAAAUCAAGUUAUAAUGUGAAAAAAAAAAUGAGAGAUUAUAUUUAAAUUAAAUAAAUGCAUGUAUUUAUCAAUUCAUUAUUGCUGAUAUAAUCAAGCUUAGGAUGAUUAACAAUAGGUUCAUAAGAUGAUUCAAUAAUAUUUUAAUAAUUAUUAAUUUAUAAUUAAUUAACGGGACCUAAUAAAAAAAUAAAAUAUAAAUAAAUAUAAUAUCUAUAUUUUUUACUUUUAUCAAAUAAAUAAGAUUUGAUUAUGUGAACUCUUUCUGCUAGUUAAACUAAAACGCAAGAGAAUGAAUAUGCAUGGAAGUUGGCAGUAUUUCGUGAUCUAAGAAAAAAGUAGCGAAGAAAGUAAAUGAAAUCGAAGAAGUAAUAUGUAAAAGAAAUAAAUUAAUUAAGAAAAAGACGAAACAUAUCUUACAAAUGCGCUUGAAUUUCUCUUUGAGUUCGGUCUUAUGCUCACUGUUUGUGACACGGAAGUAGUAAUCGGGAAACGUGCUCUGCUCGACGCAGUUCGGCGGCGUGGCGGUGCCAAUCGCCAACACGGUGGCCGGACCCUCGGCUCGUCGUGCUCGACGGAUCUCCUCCACGCUUGCCAUUUAAUUUAUAUCGCCGGAAAAUGUGUUGCUUGCUUCGGAGGCAAUGGUAUGUGACAAUGUUAUCUUCAGGCGGGGGGUUUGGGGGUUAUAUAUAGAGGGUGUUUAGCUAAGUUAUUAGCUCUUGGUGCUUAUAACAUGUUUCAAGAGUUUAUAAGAUAUUUCAAAAGCUUAUAAGAUAUACUCUCUCCGUUCCACUGUAAGUGAGACCUUUUUUUUGGGCACGGAAAUUAAGAAAGGUGUAUUUUGUGUGUAGGUGAAAAAGUGAAAAUGUGUUUAAAGGGAAAAAAAUUUACCCAAAAAGGAAAGAGUCUCACUUACAGUGGGACGCCCAAAAUAGAAAGAGUCUCAGAUACAGUGGGACGGAGGGAGUAGUUUUUUAAAAGUUUAUAAGUUGUCAAAGUGUUUUGGAUAAUUGAGCAUAUAAGCGAGAGAGAGAAUUUUUAGUUAGAGAGAAAAAAUCGAAGAAAAAUGAAAUUAGAAUAAUAUAUGAUGAAAAUAAAAAUCAUUGUUGAGUUAUUUUUUCUGUAAAAUUAGUGUUGGUUAUAAGAUAAUGAGAAAAAUAAGUUGGGGUGGAAAAACUUAUUUUUUGGGAAGCUUAUAAGCGUUAGAGUUUAUUUUUACAGCUUAUAAGCUGUUUUAAAAUCUUAUUUUACCAAACACUUUAAAAGAGCUUAUAAACUCCUAAAUCUAUCUAUACCUAUUAUAAAAGAGCCAUGUUUUACAAAAUUUGAUUUGCCUAAUAUGUCCCUAUUUCUUAAUCUAUUUUAAGGACAAUAGUGUAAUAUCAUAUUAUUAUUAUUCUAAUCUUUUUUAUUUAGUUGAUUAUUGUCAUAAUAAUGAACAUAAAAGAAUUCUAAAUAAGUUCUAUUUUAUCUAUAUUUAUCACAUAUAAAUCUAUUAUUUAAAUCCAAGACUUAUUAAUUUUUUUAAUACAAAUUUACUAUAUAAAUUCAAUACAUUUAUAAAGAAAAACUCAAUGAAGUAUGUUAUUAUGUCCUACUAAAAUCUAAAUCUAUAUACACAAAAAUUUAUAAAGAAAAACUCAAUGAAGUAGAGUUGCAGAUACUUUUUAUUUAUACGCUGCUGGUGAGAACCAGUCUCAUGUAAGACCAACUCAUAUAGAAAAGUUAUACAUCAAUAUAAAGGAUAUUUCAUUUAACUCUAUGCAUCUAAUUAAUUCGAAAUUUGGAUUUGAAGUUUUUAUACUGACUUCUAGGGUGUUAAUUUAAGUUUAAUUUUAUUCCUACAAAAAUUCUAUUAUUAUUACUAUAGAUAUUAUUUUAAUUUAAUACAUUAGUAUAUAUUAAAAGUUUUGAAUAUGAUCACAUUACUAUAUAUUAAAAGAAAAAAUAAUUUAAACCCUCAAAAUAAAGAUUUUUAAAAAUGUAAAUACUUAUGGAUAUGAUUAUUAUAGGAUAACAUAUCUUCAGAAUGUGCACUUAAAAAAUUAUUAUGGAUAAAUAGUAUAACACAACUUUAUGCGAUAUUUCUCUAAUUUUGACGUAGAUGCUAAUUAGUAAUUACCAUUGGAAAAAGAUAUGGAAAAUAAUGCAUUAGUUUGACAUAAAAUAAUGCACGACUAUUAUGAUAUAUUCAAAAAUUACUUUAAGCAACAUUUGUACAUUAAUUCAUCAAGUAACCAUACUAAUUUUUUUUUCAACUUUCAACUUUCAACUUUCAACUUUCAAUUUUCAAAUUAAAUUAAUUCAAUUGUUUGACAAUAUUUUAUGUGGAGUUAUGUAUUCAUUUAUAGCCUACACACCUAAUUCUUUCAAAAUAAUUAAGAGCUUCUAUAGACUAUAAAUAUUAGUCUUAGGAGGUACUUGCUACCUUAUAGAUCCAUCAAAUUAUAAAAAUAUGCAUGGCAUUAGUUAGGAAUGAGACUUUGUAAAAAUAUGCAUGACACUGGUUGGGAAGAAGACAUAUAAUUUUGAUAGUGUAAUGGGGUGUUUACUAUUGAGCGUUAACUUAAUAGAGAAAGAUAGCAUAGCUUAACUCAUUAUCUAUUAAGAUGAAUUCAAAUUUUAAGAUAUCUCAAAACACUUGAUAAUUUCUAUAGUUUAAGAUAAUCGGCUUGAGUAUCUAAUUAUCCAAUUGAAAGGGGAUUGGAGAAAUCCCAUUAAUAAGGAUAAAAAUUCUCAAUUAUGUAUAUUUUAAAUCAUGAAAAGUAAAUGCAUCUUAAAUUAUCUACAAAUAUUAAAAUAACCAUUUUACUUAAGCAAAUAUUGAUUCUAAUAACAAAAAUAAAAAUAUAAUAAUGCUAACCACUACUACCCAAAAUGCUCUUUUAUAAAUAUAUAUUUUUGAACUUUUACAAAACAAAUUUUGAAAAUUUGAUAGAUUUUAUAAAAUUAGUUUUUACAAAGUUAUAUUUGUAAAAACAAAUCAAAAACCUUCCACCACGUUUAAUCAAGUGUUAAUGGUGUGAAACGUACAAAAUUUGGAUAGUAUGGCUACAACUUUGUUCACAUUUACUCUAUGGACAAUUUUGUCUGAAGUGUUAAGCAAAACGAUUAUUUAAAGGUAUUGACACAAAAGAAAAAUGGGACUUUCCUUAUUACUGAUAUUCAAAUUUCAAGUAUGAGUAACAUACAGUGAACUCUCUUUUUGUAUGCCAUGUAACUAUAGUAAUUAUAGCUAGCCAUAAUAACAAUUAUGAUCAAUGCAGACAAACAGAGACUUACUCACGAGCAACAACCACCACCUGCUUCCCCACAUUACGGCCGGAGAAUAGGCCAACGAGAGCACUAGGUGCGUUUUCAAGGCCUUCGGCUAUGUCUUCGACGUAUGUGAUCUUCCCUUCUUUGAUUUGAGGCACAACCAUCUCAAGGAACUUCGGGUAGAGAUGGUAGUAGUCGUGAACAGCAAAUCCUUGCAUCCGGAUCCGUUUUGCUACGAGGUUGAACAAGUUGUGCACGCCUUCGGGCUGCUCGAGGCCAUACUGAGAGAUCAUCCCACAAACAGCAACACGACCGUGCAGUCUCAUGUUGUUUAGCACUGCUUCGAGCAUCUUCCCUCCCACGUUCUCAAAGUAGAUGUCGAUGCCAU